rnacentral:rRNA from 1 species
GGUUUCCGUAGGUGAACCUGCGGAAGGAUCAUUACCGAUGUAAUCCAAAAGCACGACUCCGUCGUGACUACCGUGUGAACUGUACCAAACUAUUCAGGGGUCGGCCGGUCCGUUAAAUGGCGGUCGGACGCGUGUAGUGCGCGGCCGCUCCGCCAGCCCCGCCUGUGUUUUUUUAUCAUACGUGUCUUGUCUGAAAACGUGACCACUGCCGUGGUCUAGAGCAAAUGAAAAGAGAGACAACUUUUGACGGUGGAUCUCUUGGCUCACGCAUCGAUGAAGAACGCAGCCAGCUGCGAUAAGUAGUGUGAAUUGCAGAAUUCAGUGAAUCAUCGAAUCUUUGAACGCAAAUGGCGCUCUUGGGUUCUCCCAGGAGCAUGUCUGUCUGAGUGUCGGAUAUCAUCCAACGCACCUAGUCGUGCGGCGUUGAGGCGUCACGGCCCUUCUUGCGGCCGUGUCCCUUGAAAGUUAGAGAGACUCGCCGCGGCACGGGCCCGUUCCCUGCACACUCGCGGAGGCUAAAAACGCUUUUGCCCUUCGCGUGCACGGGAGCGAGUCGUCCGCCGAGUCGCGGAGGCGAAAACUUUUCAACUCUUGACCUCAGAUCAGG